UCUGUCCUACAGGAUUACUAGACAGUGCAAAGAAUACGUGCAACAACAAUUAUCAGAAGUUGCAAGACGCAUCCAAACUGCAUUGUUGUGUUAUGGAAUACAGCAAGACUUGUGUUCCGGAAAUACUCGAAAGACAAAGAUGCGAUGAGACGUUUCUUCUUGAGCGGUUCUUCAAGGACAUCAACGCUGACUGUGGAACAUCGAAGCCAGUCUGCGACGUUGCAUCAAAGUGCCCGAACAAAACGUUAUCACUUGCACAGACUGUCUGCGAAGAAAGCUUUAUGAGGGAACACGGCCUCGUCCUUCCCCCCGAAUA